rnacentral:misc_RNA from 1 species
GAUGAAGAACGUAGCGAAAUGCGAUAAGUAAUGUGAAUUGCAGAAUUCAGUAAAUCAUCGAAUCUUUGAACGCACAUUGCGCCCCUUGGUAUUCCGAGGGGCAUGCCUAUUCGAGCGUCAUUAUCACCCCUCAAGCCUAGCUUGGUGUUGAGGCCUGCUGUCAAGGCAGCCUCUAAAAUCAGUGGCAGUGCUGUCAGGCUCUAAGCGUAGUAAAUCUAAUCGCUAUAGACACCUGGUGGACACUCGCCAGAACCCCCCCCAUUUUUUAAUGAUUGACCUCGGAUUAGGUAGGGAUACCCGCUGAACUUAAGCAUAUCAAUAAGCGGAGGA